UCUUGACAUCAGAAAUAUUUAUUAUCAUUAUCUUAUAUACAAACGUCACCACAGUUCUUAGAGCAUUAAAUACAAAAGCCAUGACAUAUCCACGCAAUAAUCGGAAACGAUAAUUAAUGAUAAUAAUAUUUAGCUAUUCGAGAAUUUCAAAAAAAUAUAGAAAGAAAUAGUUCCAAAGAAAAGCUUAUCUUGUAAUACACCCCUUCCACAAAGUAAGUCACUUUGGCAGUUAAAGCAUAACGUGGCUAUAUGGCCAAGAUGACGUACUUUUCGGAGGCGAGCAUUUAACGUAGGUAUAGAUAAUAGCGUCGUUUGAAGUCUUAAAAUUAUUAAUAUAAUUUUAGUCAAUUUACUCGAUUUUGAUUGGUUACGAGCCCGCGUGCAUUCCGCACGCUCACGUAAAUGCAUUAAUUUAAACACAAAAUCUAAAUAAACAACGUCGAAAUUUAUAUUUUCUGAGCUCUACUUUGCAAUGAGCUCUUGAAUAAAAGAAAAAGAUGAAAUAAAAAUUAUUCACAGUUUUUCGCACAAAGGCCGGCAUGCCUGUGCUCGCUUGAAUACAUUAAUACAAUAUUUCUUGUCAUUGAUUUCUCGAAAAGUCGACUAUAAAAUUAUAUUAGACAGACGUGCCAUUUCCUAUGCCAAUAAUUUACAUGAAAAAAUUACCCAGAGGCAUGGGUGCAUGAAACUCUCGCGAAAUGAAUCAUUUACUCGCUCCUUUGAAAGGUACAAAAACUUAUACAACAAUUUUAAACUGUUAGAAAUAAAAAAACUUGUAUCAAACGUCUUUUGUUUAGGCGCUUGCCAGGUAUAGUUUCUUUAUUUUUCACUGCAUGUAUUUCGAUCAAAGUACACUACUUUAGCCAAAUAGCCUUUCUCACGCCGCCAUUUUUGGGUGGCUUUUUCAGCCGAUGUCGCCGUUAUAAUUUUUUGGACGAGUGAUGGUAAAUUUGCUUUGUAAAUGCAUGGUUGGUUUAUUUUGAAAAAUUGCUUUUCACAUUGUUUUAAUUAUCUGAAUUGGUUAACGAGAAUUAGAUACCACCCAAAAAUGGCGGAUAUUCGUCAUCGUGAGAAAGGCUAAUUGGAAUUGCGUAAUUUUUUAUGUACAUUAUGCUACGACGGAAACAAGAUAAGUUUUUGGGAUUACAAAUAAAAUUCUGAUGAGCUUAUUCUUCGCGGAACCGAUUAAGGCAACAUAGUUUAAUCUUUUAGUCUCUCAGAUACAAAAUACUACUAAAUCCACAAUGUUGGUCUUUAUAACUGCAGCGAAACAGCGGGUAAACUUUUAAAACGUAUAUAAUUGGGGUACAACAACACAA